CGGGGCCCGUCUGCUGGGCUGCCUGGCCCGGGGCCUUGUGAGCUCAGGGCCACCUCAGCGGGCCCGAGGCCGGGGACCCGGCGGCCCGAGGGGGACUGCUGCGCUCCGGGGCCAUCUGAGGCCGCGCCCCACGGGGCCCAGGGACAUCUGUGAGUCCUCGGAGGCGAGUUCGGAUCCCUUACACAGAAGGAAACGGGCUGUUGAGCAGCUGCGGCUUCCUGCUCCCAAGAAGGCGGCGCUGACUCCCUCCGCCCGGGAGGGACGCAGAGCCUGGCCCGCGGUCAUGCCAGGGUGGGCGCAGCAGCUGGGGGACAGCCCGCGCCCUGCAGGACACAGGUCUUGCAGGGAAAGCUGGUUCCGGAGAGGAGGGCUCAGCACAGCACCUAAGAAACAAGGCCCUUCAUGCACAUCAGCUCAGGACCAUCUGACCCAAAGGUGGGAAAGGCUUCAGCUGUCUACAGAGUCUGUCUUCAAGGCAGGGACACGGGGACAGUGGCCACGGGGGCUCCCCUGGUCCCCUCCGAGAUCCCCUGGGGGAAGCACCAGUGCCGGCUGGCGAGACCCCACCAGCUCCGUCUCUGGAUGAACGGAAGGCAGGCACACACAGACCCCACGCGGCAGCCGGAGGGGCUGCGGUUGCUCGGAAAGCCCGCGGGCUGCACAGGUGGCGCUGAGCACGGCUGAAGGCACCCCAGGCAUCGGCCUGCACCCGGGGAGCCGGGGACAGAGAGGCUGGGCAGGCCGGGCUCAGAUAACCCCGUUACAGGGCGUUGUCGUAAAUAACGAAGUCACGUCUGAAACUCA